CAAAGGUCACACCCAGGAGCUGGGCAAGGACAAGUGGCUCUGCCCCCUCAGCGGGAAAAAAUUCAAGGGCCCCGAGUUCGUCCGGAAGCACAUCUUCAACAAGCACUCGGACAAGAUGGGGGCCGUCAGGAAGGAGGUUUUGUUCUUCAACAACUUCCUGAUGGACCCGAAGCGCCCGGCGCUGCCCGAGGGAAAAGG